AACCUUUACAAUGCACGCAAGUGUGAUAAGGGAAUCCUCCGUGCUUACACAUUGUGUAGGCUUUUACUAAGUGUAAAUAGCUUAGUGAAUAAGGGGUGGGCAAGACUGGUGCCAGCCGCCGCGGUAACACCAGCGCCCCGAGUGGGAACCAUGUUUAUUGGGUCUAAAGCGUCCGUAGCCGGUUAGCUAAGUCCUUUGUGAAAUGAUCGGGCUUAACUCGAUCACGUGCAGGGGAUACUGGCUAACUAGGGACCGGGAGGCGUCAGGGGUAUUCUGAGGGGAGCGGUAAAAUGCUUUAAUCCUCAGAGGACCACCUGUGGCGAAGGCGCCUGACGAGAACGGAUCCGACGGUGAGGGACUAAAGCUAAGGGAGCAAUCCGG
rnacentral:rRNA from 1 species